rnacentral:rRNA from 1 species
AGAUUGAACGCUGGCGGCAUGCCUAACACAUGCAAGUCAAACGGGAGUAGCAAUACUCUAGUGGCGGACGGGUGAGGAAUACGUAGGAAUUUGCCCUUAAGUGGGGGACAACCCGGGGAAACCCGGAUUAAUACCGCAUGACCUCGAAAGAGCAAAGUGGGGGAUCGCAAGACCUCACGCUUUUGGAGAAGCCUACGUCGGAUUAGCUAGUUGGUGAGGUAAUGGCUCACCAAGGCGACGAUCCGUAACUGGUCUGAGAGGAUGAUCAGCCACACUGGGACUGAGACACGGCCCAGACUCCUACGGGAGGCAGCAGUAGGGAAUAUUGGACAAUGGGCGAAAGCCUGAU